rnacentral:rRNA from 1 species
GUCUUAGUGGCGCAGCUAACGCACUAAGUAGACCGCCUGGGGAGUACGGCCGCAAGGUUAAAACUCAAAUGAAUUGACGGGGGCCCGCACAAGCGGUGGAGCAUGUGGUUUAAUUCGACGCAACGCGAAGAACCUUACCUGGCCUUGACAUGCAGAGAACUUUCCAGAGAUGGAUUGGUGCCUUCGGGAACUCUGACACAGGUGCUGCAUGGCCGUCGUCAGCUCGUGUCGUGAGAUGUUGGGUUAAGUCCCGUAACGAGCGCAACCCCUAUCCCUAGUUGCUAGCAGUUCGGCUGAGAACUCUAGGGAGACUGCCGGUGACAAACCGGAGGAAGGUGGGGAUGACGUCAGGUCAUCUGUAAAANGACGGCCAGGGCUACACACGUGCUACAAUGGUGCGUACAGAGGGCUGCAAACCCGCGAGGGGGAGCUAAUCUCACAAAACGCAUCGUAGUCCGGAUCGGAGUCUGCAACUCGACUCCGUGAAGUCGGAAUCGCUAGUAAUCGCGAAUCAGAAUGUCGCGGUGAAUACGUUCCCGGGCCUUGUACACACCGCCCGUCACACCAUGGGAGUGGAUUGCACCAGAAGUGGUUAGUCUAACCUUCGGGAGGACGAU